rnacentral:rRNA from 1 species
CUGAAAUUCGCCUUCAUGAAGCUGGAAUUGCUAGUAAUGGCAGGUCAGCAUACUGCCGUGAAUACGUUCCCGGGCCUUGUAUACACCGCCCGUCACACCAUGAGAGUUGGAAAUACCCGAAGCCUGUGAGCUAACUUAAAGAGGCAGCAGUCGAAGGUAGAGCCAAUGAUUGGGGUGAAGUCGUAACAAGGUAAC